rnacentral:lncRNA from 1 species
AUAAGGAACUGCACACUGGAACAGCACAGGGUAAGCGGGCUCUACUGCUGAGCAAGUUUACCCUCACCUUCAGAUAUGGCAAAUUACAGUUCUGGAUUUAAAGAAAGCUGGAAUUUACAUGGCGUUGCAAUUGAAAGAAGAUGAAGAACGUAAUUCUGAGGUACCUUCUCAGAAGUAAAAAUAAAAG